rnacentral:rRNA from 1 species
CUCGUAGGCGGUUUGUCACGUCGUCUGUGAAAUCCUAGGGCUUAACCCUGGACGUGCAGGCGAUACGGGCUGACUUGAGUACUACAGGGGAGACUGGAAUUUCUGGUGUAGCGGUGGAAUGCGCAGAUAUCAGGAGGAACACCAAUGGCGAAGGCAGAUCUCUGGGCCGUAACUGACGCUGAGGAGCGAAAGCAUGGGGAGCGAACA